AGAGUUUGAUCAUGGCUCAGCGACGCACGCUGGCGGCGCGCCUAACACAUGCAAGUCGAACGGAGUUAAGAGGAGCUUGCUUUUCUUGACUUAGUGGCGAACGGGUGAGUAACGCGUGAGUAACCUGCCUCAGAGUGGGGGACAACAGUUGGAAACGACUGCUAAUACCGCAUAAGACCACGGGGUCGCAUGGCCCUGAGGUAAAAGGAUUUAUUCGCUUUGAGAUGGACUCGCGUCCAAUUAGCUGGUUGGUGAGGUAACGGCCCACCAAGGCGACGAUUGGUAGCCGGACUGAGAGGUUGAACGGCCACAUUGGGACUGAGACACGGCCCAGACUCCUACGGGAGGCAGCAGUGGGGGAUAUUGCACAAUGGGGGAAACCCUGAUGCAGCGACGCCGCGUGGAGGAAGAAGGUUUUCGGAUUGUAAACUCCUGUCGUAAGGGACGAUAAUGACGGUACCUUACAAGAAAGCCACGGCUAACUACGUGCCAGCAGCCGCGGUAAAACGUAGGUGGCAAGCGUUGUCCGGAAUUACUGGGUGUAAAGGGAGCGCAGGCGGACCGGCAAGUUGGAAGUGAAAACUAUGGGCUCAACCCAUAAACUGCUUUCAAAACUGCUGGCCUUGAGUAGUGCAGAGGUAGGCGGAAUUCCCGGUGUAGCGGUGGAAUGCGUAGAUAUCGGGAGGAACACCAGUGGCGAAGGCGGCCUACUGGGCACCAACUGACGCUGAGGCUCGAAAGUGUGGGUAGCAAACAGGAUUAGAUACCCUGGUAGUCCACACCGUAAACGAUGAUUACUAGGUGUUGGAGGAUUGACCCCUUCAGUGCCGCAGUU
rnacentral:rRNA from 1 species